GGUAGCGUCCUCCUUGCGGUUAGACUACCUACUUCUGGUGCAACAAAUUCCCAUGGUGUGACGGGCGGUGUGUACAAGGCCCGGGAACGUAUUCACCGCGGCAUUCUGAUCCGCGAUUACUAGCGAUUCCGACUUCAUGGAGUCGAGUUGCAGACUCCAAUCCGGACUACGAUCGGCUUUUUGAGAUUAGCAUCCUAUCGCUAGGUAGCAACCCUUUGUACCGACCAUUGUAGCACGUGUGUAGCCCUGGUCGUAAGGGCCAUGAUGAAAUUCUAUCUUCCCCGCCUUCCUCGAGUUUGUCACUGGCAGUAUCCUUAAAGUUGCCGGCUUAACCCGCUGGCUAAUAAGGAAAAGGGUUGCGCUCGUUGCGGGACUUAACCCACCUUCUCACGACACUAACUGAGGACAGCCAUGCCAGACCCGUAUGUAAGUGCGCGAAGGGCCCNAGCCAUUCCUGGAAAGUUCUGACUAUGUCUGGACCAGGUAAGGUGCUUCGCGNUGCAUCGAAUUACGCCAUUUGCUCCACCGGAUGUGCGGGCCCCCGCCAAUUCAUAUGAGUUUUAGUCUUGCGACCGUACUCCCCAGGCGGUCUACUUAUCGCGUUAGCUGCGCCACUAAAGCCUCAAAGGCCCCAACGGCUAGUAGACAUCGUUUACGGCAUGGACUACNAGGGUAUCUAAUCCUGUUUGCUCCCCAUGCUUUCGUACCUCAGCGUCAGUAUUAGGCCAGAUGGCUGCCUUCGCCAUCGGUAUUCCUCCAGAUCUCUACGCAUUUCACCGCUACACCUGGAAUUCUACCAUCCUCUCCCAUACUCUAGCUUCCCAGUAUCGAAUGCAAUUCCUAAGUUAAGCUCAGGGAUUUCACAUCCNANUUAANAAGCCGCCUACGCACGCUUUACGCCCAGUAAAUCCGAUUAACGCUCGCACCCUCUGUAUUACCGCGGCUGCUGGCACAGAGUUAGCCGGUGCUUAUUNCUGCGAGUAACGUCCACUAUCCUAGAGUAUUAAA
rnacentral:rRNA from 1 species